UCGCGCAUCCGUGAUAUCCGUGCGUUGCGUUUUUCUCUAUCUCGCUUCUAUACUUCAUCUCUUCUCUUCUCUGUCCUUUUUACUAGCCCUACAGUGCCCUGAACUGAUCAGUAAGCAAGAGAUUCUCUUGCUGCGACAGUCGUUUGUCUCGCCUCACUACCUCCGAGUCAUCGUCGUUGCAGUCACGAUUUCUACCUAUACCUAUAGUCCUUAAAAACGACGUAUAGAUCUUGAUAUAAAACAAGAGGAAGCUUCGCGAGUGUUGUCCUUACCCACAAGUGCGCGAACAAUUACAUAUAGUGUGCCAACCAUUGUUUAAAAAACAGCUAACAGGAGGACGGCAGCAGAAGUACAGGGGGAAGCGAAGGAACUUUUUGUUCCUUGCUUUUGGAUUUGAGAAGAGAAAAGAAAGAAAUAGGUACAACAAGGAUCAGGAGCCAGGUGCAGUGCAGGUUGCAAAGAGAGGAGCGACAAGAAGAUACAUUAUAGCCUACUCGGUGGGGCGAGUUGUAUUUGUAUAAAGGAAAAAUAACAAGUUUUGCAAGGUAGGCUGCAGCAGCGCGGCAGACGUCAUGUUCUCCGGGCUGACGAACCAGGUGUCCAACUGGAUGGGCAAAAAGGCCGAGGACGGGAGCGAACUACCGGCCGAUCAACAGCAGCAGCCUCCAACUGUAGAAAAUGCUGCCGAAGGGGUUGACCCUGCUGGAAGCGGUGGCGUCGGCAGCAAGCUGGAGAUGCUGGCGGGGGUGAAGUCGCAGGUGGCCUCGUCGAUGAGCGGCUGGCUGAGCGGCGGCAUACCCGGUCUGAACCGCGGGGCCGGGGGUGCGGCCGGCGAGGAUCAGAUGGCGGAAGGUGUCGGCGCGGAGGGGCCCGCUGUGGGAACGACGGCGGGGGAUCAGGCGACGUCUUCUGGCGACGGCGCGACAGAUAACGUAAAAGACGAUGACGCUAGCAGGUGGGUCGCAGGCGCGACCGGCGGCGCUGACAGCGGACCUGGAAGUCUCGGCGGCACACCGACCGAGGAAGGACAGCAGCCCUUCGGUGCUGUGUCGACAAAGGCCCUGGCCGGCGCCAAGAGCCUGGGCGGCUUCCUCUACAGCGCGGUAAACAAGGCCGGGAAAUCCGUCGCCGAGGCUGGCGCUAAAAUCAAGAAGACCGUCGAAGAAAACAAACAACCGGCUCUCGAUGCGAUGUCGCAGGUGGUGAACAAUCAGAUACGAAUGGAAGAGGACAUUCGCGAGAGACUGAUAGCCGAGCUGAACAAGGAGCAGGAGGCGUUCAUCGCGGGCAAGCCGGGCGAGAAGGGCGAGGCGGUCGCCCCGUGGAUCGGCGCGCCCAACGAGGAUGCCCUGCGCGAGGAGUGCCUGGCGCUCUCGACCGAUCGGCGUAACUUUGUGAGAGCACCGCCACCGGGUGUCGAUUUCCCCUGGGAUUUCGAGGCCGUGCAGCCAAUGGCGCAAGCAACCCUAGCCCUCGACCCCAACCUCGAGACCAUGAGGUUCGAGCUCGUACCCAAAGUAAUAUCCGAGGAGAACUUUUGGCGCAACUACUUCUACCGGGUGUCACUGCUCCGUCAGAGCCACGAGAUGAACGCGAUGGCCAGCGAGUCGACGGAAAGCAAUCCUGGCCAGUUCGCGUCGAGCGACAGCGUUGAGCAGACCCAAGCCUAAAAAAGAAGAGGAGAAAAUGUGAGAGAAUUCGCUCCCUGUGUUAUCAUUAUACUCAGAGCACUAAAGAGGAAUGGGAGCGCGAGCUAGAGGCCGAACUGAAGGACUACGAGGUGGUGCCAGGCAGUCAGGAUUCAAAAUCAAAG
rnacentral:misc_RNA from 1 species